rnacentral:rRNA from 1 species
GUAUCUUGACUGUGCAAAGGUAGCAUAAUCACUUGCUUCUUAAUUAGGAGCUGGAAUGAAAGAGGCGACGAAAUCUAGACUAUUUAAGUUUUAAUAUAAAUUGACAGGCGGGUCAAAAGGCCCGCAUACGCCAGGGGGACGAUAAGACCCUAUAAAACUUUACUUUCGGGCCGACGCCCUGCGGGAGGGAGAGUGUCUGAGAGUUUGACUGGGGCGGUUAUUAUAGAAACAAUUAUAGAUAAAAUAUAUUAUAUAGACGGGUAGAACUCUCUAGAGAAAUAGAACAAGUUACUUUAGGGAUAACAGCGCGAUCCCCUCA